rnacentral:rRNA from 1 species
CAAUAGCGUAUAUUAAAGUUGUUGCAGUUAGAACGCUCGUAGUCGGAUUUCGGGGCGGGCCGACCGGUCUGCCGAUGGGUAUGCACUGGUCGGCGCGUCCUUCCUUCCGGAGACCGUCCCUACUCUUAACUGAGCGGGGGCGGGAGACGGGACUUUUACUUUGAAAAAAUCAGAGUGUUUCAAGCAGGCAGCUCGCUCUUGCAUGGAUUAGCAUGGGAUAAUGAAAUAGGACUUUGGUGCUAUUUUGUUGGUUUCGAACACCGAAGUAAUGAUGAGAAGGGACAGUCAGGGGCACUCGUAUUCCGCCGAGGGAGGUGAAAUUCUCAGACCAGCGGAAGACGAACCACUGCGAAAGCAUUUGCCAGGGAUGUUUUCACUGA